CUACGGGGGGCUGCAGUGGGGAAUAUUGGACAAUGGGGGCAACCCUGAUCCAGCCAUGCCGCGUGUGUGAAGAAGGCCCUCGGGUUGUAAAGCACUUUCAGUGAGGAAGAACGCCUGGUGGUUAAUACCCAUCAGGAAAGACAUCACUCACAGAAGAAGCACCGGCUAACUCCGUGCCAGCAGCCGCGGUAAUACGGAGGGUGCGAGCGUUAAUCGGAAUUACUGGGCGUAAAGCGCGCGUAGGUGGCUUGAUAAGCCGGUUGUGAAAGCCCCGGGCUCAACCUGGGAACGGCAUCCGGAACUGUCAAGCUAGAGUGCAGGAGAGGAAGGUAGAAUUCCCGGUGUAGCGGUGAAAUGCGUAGAGAUCGGGAGGAAUACCAGUGGCGAAGGCGGCCUUCUGGACUGACACUGACACUGAGGUGCGAAAGCGUGGGUAGCAAACAGGAUUAGAUACCCGGGUAGUC
rnacentral:rRNA from 1 species